rnacentral:lncRNA from 1 species
AAACUUUGUCUGCGAACACUCUUUAAUGGACAAGAUCAGGAUUUGAGCGGAAGAACGAAUGUAACUUUCUUAAGAGGCAUUUCAUCCUUCAUGAAGCUGUUCAGGAUUUUGAAUUGCAUAUGAGUGCUUGGCUCUUCCUUCUGUUCUCCUAACUUCACAGAGAAUGCAGUUGUCUUGACUUCAGGUCUGUCUGUUCUGUUGGCAAGUAAUAAUGCAGUACUGUUCUGAUCCCGCUGCUAUUAGAAUGCAUUGUGAAACGACUGGAGUAUGAUUAAAAGUUGUGUUCCCCAAUGCUUGGAGUAGUGAUUGUUGGAGGAAAAAAUCCAGCUGAGUGAUAAAGGCUGAGUGUUGAGGAAAUUUCUGCAGUUUUAAGCAGUCGUGUUUGUGAUUGAAGCUAAGUACAUUUUGCCGUGCAUUUUUAGGUAAAAUGCUUUUUGUUCAUUUCUGGUGGUGGUGGGGUGGGGGACUGAAGCCUUUAGUCUUUUCCAGAUGCAACCUUAAAAUCAGUGACAAGAAACAAAUUCCAAACAAGCAACAGUCUUCAAGAAAUUUAACUGGCAAGUGGAAAUGUUUAACAGUUCAGUGAUCUUUAGUGCAUUGUUUUUGUGUGGGUUUCUCUCUCCCCUCCCUUGGUCUUAAUUCUUACAUGCAGGAACACUCAGAACAGCAAACAUAACCUAUGCGAAGGGCCAGAGAAGCCAGACCCAGUAAGAAAAAAUAGCCUAUUUACUUUAAAUAAACCAAACAUUCCAUUUUAAAUGUGGGGAUUGGGAACCACUAGUUCUUUCAGAUGGUAUUCUUCAGACUAUAGAAGGAGCUUCCAGUUGAAUUCACCAGUGGACAAAAUGAGGACAACAGACCCUUCACCCCUCACCUCGAUGCAGCCGGUAGCUUGGAUCCUUGUGGGCAUGAUCCAUAAUCGGUUUCAAGGUAACAAUGGUGCCGAGGUCUUUGGUGGGUUGCACUGUAUUAAAAAAGGCCAUUAAUUUGCCUGCAAAUUGUUAACAGAAGGAUAUUAAAACCACAGCUAAGUAGCUCUAUGUAACACCUAUCCAGUGACUAAAACCAACUUAAACCUGUAAGUGGAGAAAUAACAUCAAGAACUGUAAUGCUGGGUGGGAACAUGUAACUUGUAGACUGGAGAAGAUAGGUAUUUGAGUGGCUGAGAGGGCUGUUGGGUGGGAAUGCAAAAAUUCUCUGCUAAGACUCUUUCAGGUGAACAUUAACAGACUUGGCCAAGCUAGCAUCUUAGCGGAAGCUGAUCUCCAA